UACGGAGGGUGCGAACGUUGUUCGGAAUCACUGGGCUUAAAGGGCGCGUAGGCGGGCUGUCAAGUCUGGGGUGAAAUCCCACGGCUCAACCGUGGAACUGCCUCAGAUACUGACGGCCUCGAGGGAGGUAGGGGCGAGCGGAACGGGUGGUGGAGCGGUGAAAUGCGUUGAUAUCCCUCGGAACUCCGGUGGCGAAAGCGGCUCGCUGGACCUUUUCUGACGCUGAGGCGCGAAAGCUAGGGGAGCAAACGGG
rnacentral:rRNA from 1 species